rnacentral:rRNA from 1 species
AAAGCUCAAAUUUAAAAUCUGGCGGUCUUAAGGCCGUCCGAGUUGUAAUCUAGAGAAGUGUUAUCUGUGCUGGACCAUGUACAAGUCCCUUGGAACAGGGCGUCAUAGAGGGUGAGAAUCCCGUCUAAGACAUGGACUCCCAGUACUGUGCGAUGCACUCUCGACGAGUCGAGUUGUUUGGGAAUGCAGCUCAAAAUGGGUGGUAAAUUCCAUCUAAAGCUAAAUACAGGCAAAAGACCGAUAGCGAA